rfam:Hypsizygus marmoreus strain 51987-8 scaffold_12, whole genome shotgun sequence.
ACACCGAUGGUGAAGUGGUUAUCAUGCUUGCCUUCCAUUGAUUACGGUAGCAAGCGGCAGGGGUUCGAUUCCCCUUCGGUGUA